ACGAACCGGACAAACGUUAUUCGGAAUCACUGGGCUUAAAGGGUGCGUAGGCGGUCUGACAAGUUGGGUGUGAAAUCCCUCGGCUCAACCGAGGAAUUGCGCUCAAAACUGUUGGACUAGAGGGAGUUAGAGGUAAGCGGAACUUAGGGUGGAGCGGUGAAAUGCGUUGAUAUCCUAAGGAACACCAGUGGCGAAAGCGGCUUACUGGAGCUCUUCUGACGCUGAGGCACGAAAGCUAGGGGAGCGAACGG
rnacentral:rRNA from 1 species